UUUACAAUAAUAAUAAAAGCCAACCAAGCAAACAGUCAAAAGAGAAGCCAUUGUCAGAUUGACGCCAGGCCUACCUUCAUUCCCUCCUUAAUCAUUCUUUUUCUCAUUCAGCUCAGAUCAUCCUGCACUUGAAAAAAUGAAGUUUUACCACCAUCAAAACUAUCUUUAUUUAACAACAGUGAAGAUCAACAGAAAAAUCCAAGUAGCUUUGCUAAUGUUAGUUGAUGCCCAGUGAAAUCAGGUCACCACUGCCGUGCCUGACGCGUGCCCUGUGGUUUGUCUGUAACAGAGCCUCUUCCCUUGCAGCAGUCUGAUGAGUGGGCUCCUUCUCCAUCAUAACCCAGUGUUGUUGUUACCUGUGGUCCUAACAAAGCUCAUUGGGAAUUGUCCCAAAACUUUAUAAACUGGGAAACGUAUUGAUGAAAAGAAGGUCCAGUGUUGAUGAUGAGCUUGUUUUAAGUGGAGAAAAGGUAAUCACAUCAGGUACAGAGGUGCAUGAUGGCGUCCUGCCGACUGUCGUUUCAGUUCACUCCCGGGUUCUGUGUUAGGAAGUAAUGCUGGCCUUUUGAAAGCAGAAACUGGCACCUUUCUGCUCUAUAUGGCAUGUGGGUGCCCUGUGAAUGCAAACGCACACAUAGGGUGAGGCUCAGAUGUGACAAAAGCCUGACCUCUGUCCUUGCCACUUAACACCUGUUUUAUGUCCUGUUGGCACUGUAGCCCAAACAGACUUGUAUUUACUUUAUGGCUAGAAAAUAAGCAAGAAGUUUUUUUCAGUGUUGAAAACAAAUGUCAUUAGAUGUUCUUAGUUGUACCGAGUCAGAGUGUUCCUAAGUUAGGGACUGGACUACUAAUCAGAUUUUGUGUUUUCACAUAGAAAGGUUAUCGGAGUCAGUUUACUUUUCUGUGAGUGAUAGUAAGAGCGUGAGUCAGUUGAAACACAUUGGGAGGGGUUGCCAAAUAUCAGCAUAAAGACAGUGGCUCAGAAGAGGCAGAAAGGGCCCUCUUAGUCCAUAAAAUGUGCCCUCCUUAAACUGAUGUGGUCUGAGUCUAUCUUGUGUGUCUUGGGAUUUUUGGUUGGUGGGUGGGUUGGUUGGUUGGUUAGUUGGUUGGUUUUAGUUUUUUUGAAACACGGUCUCACUGUGUGACCCAGACUGGCCUCAGAUGCACAGAUGCAUCGGCCUCCCAAGUGCUGGGAUUGGAGGUAUGUCCCACCACACCCUGUAGCCUUUUUCUUUUUGGUCAAAGAAAGAAUCCUUGGGCUCAAGUGGUCUUUGCAACUUAGCCCCAGAAGUAGCUAAGACUACAUGUGGGCACCAGCAUGUGCUGAUAGACCUUCUUUUAAAGCCUGAUGUUAGUCUUACUUGGAUAUUUAUUUUCAUAUGUCAAGCAGAAUAAAGGGUGGGACACAUUUUUAUUCUGGCUAUUGUUUCAUUUCACAAGCUACUUAGAACAAGUUAGCAGGGAUGAGAAGAAAAACAUUGCUAGUCCAGUUGGCUUCAGCUUAUAAAGCAAGGGCCAUACCAUGUUGUGUCCCUCAACUCCAAGUCCCUGUGUGUGUGGCUGUGUCCCAAAGUGACACCGUGCUGGUGGUGUGUAAGUGAGGGCUGAUUUCCAGUGUGCGCUGAGAGAUGACAUGAUUGAGGUAGGUGAACCUAGAGAUAAAAGGGUUCUUAUAAUUGAAUAUAGAAAACUUCUGGUUUGACGGUGUUACAUUAGGUUCUUUUCACUUGAAAAGAUUUUGAAAUAAAAUCACAUAUUUUAAAGCUGUAAAUUGUAUAUGUCUGAGGAUUUAGUAAAAUGUCAGAGAUCAAUCUAUAAGAAAAUUUAAAUAUUGUUUUUAUAUCUUAGUUGUCUGUCAUUAUUUUAGAUCCCACAAUCCCUAAUUUAACCAUUUCGGCAAGUGCCUUUGACACUUAAGGAGUAUUGUGGGAGAUGAGCAAAUGUAGGUGCCACACCCCGUUUCCUGGCUUCUCAAUUCCUCGUGACAGUAUAUGUUUUACAGUGCUACAAAGUUCAGUCCUUUGUGUUCAUGUGAGAUUGUACUGUAGCCUUUCCAUAGUAAACAGCAAAAUAAACCAUUUGCAGAAAAUGAAAAGUAAGCACUGUGGCUUGUUCAGUAUGUUACCCAUUGACCCAGCUUCAAAGCAAAGCACCUAUGCAAGCAACCCAAUUCCAUUGCUCCCUGUUUCUAAUAAAGUACAUGAACCUAUCUGG
rnacentral:lncRNA from 1 species